rnacentral:tRNA from 1 species
GGGGGUGUAGCUCAGUGGUAGAGCGUGAUUUUAGCAUGUAUAAGGCCCUAGGAUCAAUCCAGCAUCCCCC